CACCCGCGCCACAAGUGGCAAUCAUUUUUAUUGGGUCUAAAGCGUCCGUAGCCGGUUUGAUAAGUCUCUUGUGAAAUUGUUGGGCUUAACCUAACAGCGUGCAAGAGAAACUAUUAAGCUAGAGACUGGGAGGAGACAGAGGUAUUCUGAGGGUAGCGGUAAAAUGUUAUAAUCCUCGGAGGACCACCAGUAGCGGAGGCGUCUGUCUAGAACAGGUCUGACGGUGAGGGACGAAGGCCAGGGGAGCAAAACGG
rnacentral:rRNA from 1 species